ensembl:lncRNA
CUUGGGUGCGCUGCUGUACGAGUUUAAAAAGAAGCACAGGAACGCACCACGAGAGGUGCGUCUCAGGGCGCCGCUGAGGUGAGGAGAAAAACAGCAUGAGUUGAUGAAGCCUGGCCGCACAGCCCUGAAAAUGUGGACGGAGAUGAAAAACAAGAGCAGCGCUCUAAUCAAUAACGGAAAUAGCUCAAAGGUGAGAAAGAAGCGCUUUUGUGUUUUUGUGUGGUGAGCAACAGUGUACCAAAAACAAGUCUGCCGGGAUCUAUCUGACGACGGUUACACAGUACUGAUUUAGGUGUUUAUGAGCUUGCCAUAGGUAUCGGUUCAUUACGGGUUUGUUUGAUCGUUUUUACUGGGAGCGUAACCUUUUCUGUUUGGCUGUAAGUAGAUUCACACGCACAAGCGUUGCUCUGGCACAAACGUUUUACACUUUCUUGGACAUUGUCUUAUCUUUGUGCCUGGCGAUGCCCCCAAAGAGCUCCGAUUUUCCACAUUAACUUCCUGCAGCAAGUUCCCACAUCUGCUGUACACAGAAAUACGACUCGCUGUAGAUGUACACGUUUUUAACAAAGAAGAUGGUCGACCUAGAUCUUGGGGAGCAGUUGUCACAUGCUGUGCAGCAGAGCAAUGUUUCUGCUGCAGCUGCCACUCAUCCCGACUCAAAGGACUCUCCUACUUUCACUAAUGGAUUGAUCCCGGGUUCCAUUGCAGCUGCAUUGUUCAUUGCCUUUUUGCUUGGACUGUAUGCUAUUCUGUGGAAGUGUAUGGUGUCACCGCCACAACGAAAACACAACAAGUUGAGGGUAAGAGUACAUCAGAGAGCUUCUAUGUGAAGACAUGGAAGAUAUCUGGCAGCUGUUCUGUUGGUUAUCUUGGAUUUUAAAUGUCAUGGACUAAAGACUCAGAGCAGAUUUGAUCUCUGAAGAAAUCUUCAAAUAGAUUCAACACUAACAAAAGAAAAACCCCAACACUGGCUAAACUAAAUGGAUGAGCCACAUGUGCCUCCUCAGCUUUACAGUCUGCUGGUGGAUUCUGUUUACUCAAAGAGUCAUGGUGACGUUAAACACUGUUUUGGCAGGUCAGUCUGCUUUUUCUGUUUUCUGUGAAUUAUACACUACUGAGGGAGGCUACAACUUGCUCCAGUGACUAAUGAGCUGCAUGUAAAUGACUCUAAGACAGAGACAAUAUAGUAUUUUUUUUAGUAUAUGUAGCUAUUUUAGCUUUUUUCUCAACUGUACCAAAUGAUCUUUAUAUUUUAAGCAUGUAUUCUUAUUUCGUUUUAGCAUUUCUUUAUAAUAUUUUGGAUUUGAUUAUCAGAUCAGAGUAGCAUCCACCAUUUUAUCCUGUUCUGUCACCUAGUGGUGCCUCAGACAAGCCUAUGUGCACAAUUGCUCCUCAGGAUUUUGUAACUACUGAAUGAGUCUAUAAUAAAAGUCUUUUUUACAUUUAGUGGAUGUGACUGUUUGGUGAAUCUAAUCAACUACUUUCUUUGUUUAUUUUAGGUGUUUAUAAUAUGGGCUGAGUAAAGCUCUGAGUCUAUAGUUUCAGUAUCUCUCAGGCUGUACAGCACCUGUUUCAGUUUCUUUUGUUCUUUUUUCUUCUGAAU